rnacentral:rRNA from 1 species
AUUGAACGCUGGUGGCAUGCCUUACACAUGCCAGUCGAACGGCAGCAUGAUCUAGCUUGCUAGAUUGAUGGCGAGUGGCGAACGGGUGAGUAAUACAUCGGAACGUGCCCUGUAGUGGGGGAUAACUAGUCGAAAGAUUAGCUAAUACCGCAUACGACCUGAGGGUGAAAGUGGGGGACCGCAAGGCCUCAUGCUAUAGGAGCGGCCGAUGUCUGAUUAGCUAGUUGGUGAGGUAAAGGCUCACCAAGGCGACGAUCAGUAGCUGGUCUGAGAGGACGAUCAGCCACACUGGGACUGAGACACGGCCCAGACUCCUACGGGAGGCAGCAGUGGGGAAUUUUGGACAAUGGGCGAAAGCCUGAUCCAGCAAUGCCGCGUGUGUGAAGAAGGCCUUCGGGUUGUAAAGCACUUUUGUCCGGAAAGAAAUGGCUCUGGUUAAUACCUGGGGUCGAUGACGGUACCGGAAGAAUAAGGACCGGCUAACUACGUG